rfam:Triticum aestivum genome assembly, contig: Triticum_aestivum_CS42_TGACv1_scaffold_160068_2DL
AAAACUAGCCAGUCUUUUGGGUAUGAAACCCAUUUGGGCGAGAGUAGUACUAGGAUGGGUGACCUCCUGGAAAGUCCUCGUGAAAGGGUUUC